GACGAACGCUGGCGGCGUGCUUAACACAUGCAAGUCGAACGGAAAGGCCCUGCUUUUGUGGGGUGCUCGAGUGGCGAACGGGUGAGUAACACGUGAGUAACCUGCCCUUGACUUUGGGAUAACUUCGGGAAACUGGGGCUAAUACCGGAUAGGAGCUCCUGCUGCAUGGUGGGGGUUGGAAAGUUUCCGCGGUUGGGGAUGGACUCGCGGCUUAUCAGCUUGUUGGUGGGGUAGUGGCUUACCAAGGCUUUGACGGGUAGCCGGCCUGAGAGGGUGACCGGCCACAUUGGGACUGAGAUACGGCCCAGACUCCUACGGGAGGCAGCAGUGGGGAAUAUUGCACAAUGGGCGGAAGCCUGAUGCAGCAACGCCGCGUGCGGGAUGGCGGCCUUCGGGUUGUAAACCGCUUUCGCCUGUGACGAAGCGUGAGUGACGGUAAUGGGUAAAGAAGCACCGGCUAACUACGUG
rnacentral:rRNA from 1 species